GGCCGCGGGGGGUUGCCCGGCGGCCUCGACGCGGAUCGCGUCCGCGCCGGCGGGCGGGGGAGUCAGCUCCUCGCCGGGCCGCAUCCGGUCGCCGGCU
rnacentral:tRNA from 1 species